GACGAACCGAGCGAACGUUGUUCGGAAUCACUGGGCUUAAAGGGUGCGUAGGCGGGCUGCCAAGUUUGGUGUGAAAUCCUCCGGCUCAACCGGGGAAGUGCCUUGAAUACUGGCGGUCUGGAGGGAGGUAGGGGCGUGCGGAACUAACGAUGGAGCGGUGAAAUGCGUUGAUAUCGUUAGGAACUCCGGUGGCGAAGGCGGCACGCUGGACCGCUUCUGACGCUGAGGCACGAAAGCCAGGGGAGCGAACGGG
rnacentral:rRNA from 1 species